rnacentral:piRNA from 1 species
UGGACUCUAGUUUUCAGGUCUCAAAGC